rnacentral:tRNA from 1 species
GGUUGUGUGGCUCAGCGGUAGAGCAUUCACCUAGCACAUGAGAGGCCCUGAGUUUGAUCCUCAGCACCACAU